UGCUGUAUGGCAACACUCAGUCCCUCUGUGAAUACAGACUGGAAAACUACCUGAGGAUGCCUAGCACAGUGAGGCCACACUGCACUUGAAUUACUGUGGAUGGCCUUGGGUAUAAAAAAAAAAAAAAAAAUGUAUGCCACAUAGUGGAAUAAGGACUAGAAUAAGGAUCAGACUUGGAUAUGUAUCCUAAUUAGGGGUAGGGGUGUCCAGACUUUUAAAGCUAUUCAAAAACAGUGAUCUCCUCAGCAGAAGCAGUAUCUGAUAACGGCUUUCUCUUUCUGAAUACAAUAUGAGACCUUAACUACUCUAGAGAACUAAUCCUGGACUUCCUACUCCGGGAAUGUUCUUCAUAUCUCCACAAGUCCUGCUGCCCAUGAAUCCUAAAGAUACUCUUUUGCUAUCCAAGGAAGUUUUACAGAUUUUAUUCACUUAUUUGAGAGAGGAAGAGAGAGAGCGCACAAGCAAGGGGCAGGCAGAGAGAAGGAGAAGCAAGCUCCCAGCUCAAUCCCAGGACCCUGAGAUCAUGACCUGAGCCAAAGGCAGAUGCCUAACCAACUGAGCCACCCAGGCACCCCUUCUGCAUGCUUUCUUUACAUGCCUGCUACACUUUAUAAGCUGUAAAUCUCUCAAAGUCAGGUAGCCUAUUUAUGAUUACAGAUAACCAGUACUUAGCACAGUAGCAUGUUUACUAUGCAUAUAGCACUCAACAAAAGCUUACUGUACAAGUUGAAAAACUUUUGAGAGCAACCCAGCCCCUGACUGACUGGAUGAAAUAAAGUCUUCUAUGUGUUUCUGCAGAUUACAGGAGAUCCCUAAGAUGUGCUGUCUCCUCAAAUUUAGUAGCUAAUAUACAGAACUCGGGAGGUUGGAAUAGAAAUAGACCCAGUUUAUAACCACAGAAUAUCCAUGGAUCUCCCACUUUUCCUCCUCCACAGAAUAGGCCUAAAUUAUUUUGUCAAAAUGUUUGUCAUGUAAAUUCAACUAUAAAACUAUGGAUAGAAUUGUUAGGCUUAUAACUCUGUGUAAAACUAAGAUAUAAUAAAUGCAAACAAGAUGGAGUAGAUGGGCUCCUUGAUGUGCGUUAUUGGAUUUCUUAUUUUCUUCUGAGUCUGCAAGUGGGUCUUGGAAGUCAAGUCUCAGUUUAUAGGAGAACAAGUGAGAAUUCCACUGUCUUAUGUGAGGGGCCUGCAACA